AUGUGUGUGGAGUUAAUGAAUCCUGUCCCGUUGCAGGCUGAUCGUACCUCUGGACUCAGCCAAAGCCACUCAUCUGUACCAGCAGGCAGCAGGAGUGUCCGAGAAAACCAUCGCACAAGUGCUGGUGCAUCUGCACAGAGGAGACUACGUGGCGGCGGAGAAGUGUGUGCGGGAGAGCUACAGUAUCCCAGGAUUCAGCGGGAGCGAGGACUGCGUGGCCAUGGAGCAGCUUCUGCAGGGUUACGAUGAGCAGGAUGAGGAGCAGGUGUCUCUUGUCUGCACUUCACCGCUGCUCAGAUACAUGGACGACGACGUGAGUCUCCCAGCAUGCAUCUCCUUUAGAGAGAUAUUGCAAUUCUCCUUUAGAGACCCAACCAUUAUUACCAAAGUGAAAAAUUAAUUUUUUUUUUACUAAAAAGUCUGAAAUCUAACUUUUUGAGCUAAAUCAGAGACAAUGUGAGCUUUUGUUUAUUUUAUAAGGCAAGGCACUACAGAUGAUUUUAGGGUAAAAGAGUAAAGAUGCUUAUUUACCGUAUUUUCUCCGCAUGAUUGCAUUAUGUUAUUAGAUUUCUGAAAUGUUGGUAGAAUAUGCAAAUGGAGGAUGCAUUGUGUUCAUUGUGUGCUACAAAUCAUCAUAAUCUUAAAAGCUAUUACCACAAAUACGUAAAUGUUAUAAUGCAUUAAAACGGUUGUUAUGAUUUACUCAUGAGAUGAUGCAACAUAUUAUAAUGUUUUUAUAAUGCAUUCAUUAUAAUGCCUUAAGAAUACUGUUAUAAUGUAUUAUAAAUACAGGCUUUGUAGAAAGUGUAACCAUAAACGCUUUUGUAUUUUGGGUGUUUUCUUUGCACUAGUCUGAAAGAAGGCAUGUUAUGAUUUUUGUUAUUCCAGUAUGCGAAGCUUGCCAUCAGCCUGAAAGUGCCUGGAGGAGGGAAGAAGAAAGCUGCUGCUGCUGCUGGCGGAGAUUCAGAAGUGAGUGCUGGAGCCGCGCCGCCGGAGGAAGAGGAGGAUGAGUACGCCGGAGGCCUCUGUUAAAGCUCUAGUCUACCAAACCUAGCCUGACACUCCUCCAUGAAGGUGCAAGCAUGAGCCCCAAACAUUAUAUUAUCCUGGAGGUGUUUGUGUUUUCAGAACUGUUAAGGAGAGAAACGUCAUCUCGAGAAGAAAAGCAGCAUGUUUAUGCAACAUCUUCCUCUAUUAAACAUGCAUAUUUAGGUUUGCCUUUAACCCAUAAUGUUAAAAUGAAAAUGUGUAUCCUAAAGAGUUUUCAGGCAAACCCAUAAUAGAAGCUUGUUUUUGGUAAACGUGACUUUUUAUCUCACGAUUCAGACUUUUUUCUUUAUAAACGCAGAAUUGCGAGACAAAAGUCUGAAUUGUUUAAUAAAGUCACAAUUACCUUUUUUAUUUUGUGGUGG
ensembl:lncRNA